GAUGAAGAACGCAGCGAAAUGCGAUAAGUAAUGCGGAUUGCAGAAUCCGUGAGUCAUCGAAUCUUUGAACGCACAUUGCGCCCUUUGGUAUUCCGAAGGGCAUGCCUGUUCGAGCGUCAUUAUCACCACUCAAGCCCGGCUUGCUGUUGGUGGCAGCGCAGCCGGUCAACCGGCUACGCUCCACCCAAAGAUAAUGACGGCGUCUGCGAGGACUCCUGUACAUUGAGCUUUCGGGCACGUACAUGGCUAGAAGUCCAGGCGCCGGUCGACGUCCUCCGGGACACUUUUUACCAAGGUUGACCUCGGAUCAGGUAGGGAUACCCGCUGAACUUAAGCAUAUCAAUAAGCGGAGGA
rnacentral:misc_RNA from 1 species